CCCCUAGAUGUUCUGGGCCGCACGCGCGCUACACUGAACAGUUCAACAAGUCUUAACCUUGGCCGAUAGGUCUGGGUAAUCUUUGAACGCUGUUCGUGAUUGGGAUAGACCUUUGCAAUUAUGGGUCUUCAACGAGGAAUUCCUAGUAACCGCAAGUCAUCAGCUUGCAUUGAUUACGUCCCUGCCCUUUGUACACACCGCCCGUCGCACCUACCGAUUGAAUGGUCCGGUGAAAUCUCGGGACGGCGGCUUGGUCGCUUGCGUCCGACUGCUGAAACUUGAUUAAACCAUAUCAUUUAGAGGAAGGUGAAGUCGUANCA
rnacentral:rRNA from 1 species